rnacentral:rRNA from 1 species
AUUGAACGCUGGCGGCAGGCCUAACACAUGCAAGUCGAACGGUAACAGGAAGCAGCUUGCUGUUUCGCUGACGAGUGGCGGACGGGUGAGUAAUGUCUGGGAAACUGCCUGAUGGAGGGGGAUAACUACUGGAAACGGUAGCUAAUACCGCAUAACGUCGCAAGACCAAAGAGGGGGACCUUCGGGCCUCUUGCCAUCGGAUGUGCCCAGAUGGGAUUAGCUUGUUGGUGGGGUAACGGCUCACCAAGGCGACGAUCCCUAGCUGGUCUGAGAGGAUGACCAGCCACACUGGAACUGAGACACGGUCCAGACUCCUACGGGAGGCAGCAGUGGGGAAUAUUGCACAAUGGGCGCGAGCCUGAUGCAGCCAUGCCGCGUGUAUGAAGAAGGCCUUCGGGUUGUAAAGUACUUUCAGCGGGGAGGAAGGGAGUAAAGUUAAUACCUUUGCUCAUUGACGUUACCCGCAGAAGAAGCACCGGCUAACUCCGUGCCAGCAGCCGCGGUAAUACGGAGGGUGCAAGCGUUAAUCGGAAUUACUGGGCGUAAAGCGCACGCAGGCGGUUUGUUAAGUCAGAUGUGAAAUCCCCGGGCUCAACCUGGGAACUGCAUCUGAUACUGGCAAGCUUGAGUCUCGUAGAGGGGGGUAGAAUUCCAGGUGUAGCGGUGAAAUGCGUAGAGAUCUGGAGGGAUACCGGUGGCGAAGGCGGCCCCCUGGACGAAGACUGACGCUCAGGUGCGAAAG